CAGUAGCAAGCUUAACGAAUAGGGGAGGCGUAGCGAAAGCGAGUACUGAAAAGGGCGAUAUAGUUGCUGGACGUAGACCGAACCAGAUGAUCUACCCAUGGCCAGGAUGAAGGUCGGGGUAACACCCACGUGGAGGUCCGAACCCACUAGUGUUGAAAAACUAGGGGAUGAGCUGUGGGUAGGGGUGAAAGGCUAAACAAAUCUGGAGAUAGCUGGUUCUCCCCGAAAACUAUUUAGGUAGUGCCUCAUAUGGACACUUCCGGGGGUAGAGCACUGUAAUGGUUGAGGGGGUCGUUUAGAUCUACCUCGCCAUAGCAAACUCCGAAUACCGGAAAGUGAUGUAUGGGAGACAGACGGUGGGUGCUAACGUCCAUCGUCAAGAGGGAAACAACCCAGACCGCCAGCUAAGGUCCCCAAUGAUUGGCUAAGUGGAAAACGAGGUGGGAAGGCAUAGACAGUCAGGAGGUUGGCUUAGAAGCAGCCAUCCUUUAAAGAAAGCGUAAUAGCUCACUGAUCGAGUCGUCCUGCGCGGAAGAUGUAACGGG
rnacentral:rRNA from 1 species